GUUGGGUAGGGGAGCGUUCUGUAAGCCUGUGAAGGUGGCCUGUGAGGGUUGCUGGAGGUAUCAGAAGUGCGAAUGCUGACAUAAGUAACGAUAAAGCGGGUGAAAAGCCCGCUCGCCGGAAGACCAAGGGUUCCUGUCCAACGUUAAUCGGGGCAGGGUGAGUCGACCCCUAAGGCGAGGCCGAAAGGCGUAGUCGAUGGGAAACGGGUUAAUAUUCCCGUACUUGGUGUUACUGCGAAGGGGGGACGGAGAAGGCUAUGUUGGCCGGGCGACGGUUGUCCCGGUUUAAGCGUGUAGGUGUGUGUUCCAGGUAAAUCCGGUUCACUUUAACACUGAGGCGUGACGACGAGGCACUACGGUGCUGAAGCAACAAAUGCCCUGCUUCCAGGAAAAGCCUCUAAGCAUCAGGUAACAUCAAAUCGUACCCCAAACCGACACAGGUGGUCAGGUAGAGAAUACCAAGGCGCUUGAGAGAACUCGGGUGAAGGAACUAGGCAAAAUGGUGCCGUAACUUCGGGAGAAGGCACGCUGACACGUAGGUGAAGUGAUUUACUCAUGGAGCUGAAGUCAGUCGAAGAUACCAGCUGGCUGCAACUGUUUAUUAAAAACACAGCACUGUGCAAACACGAAAGUGGACGUAUACGGUGUGACGCCUGCCCGGUGCCGGAAGGUUAAUUGAUGGGGUCAGCGCAAGCGAAGCUCCUGAUCGAAGCCCCGGUAAACGGCGGCCGUAACUAUAACGGUCCUAAGGUAGCGAAAUUCCUUGUCGGGUAAGUUCCGACCUGCACGAAUGGCGUAAUGAUGGCCAGGCUGUCUCCACCCGAGACUCAGUGAAAUUGAACUCGCUGUGAAGAUGCAGUGUACCCGCGGCAAGACGGAAAGACCCCGUGAACCUUUACUAUAGCUUGACACUGAACAUUGAGCCUUGAUGUGUAGGAUAGGUGGGAGGCUUUGAAGUGUGGACGCCAGUCUGCAUGGAGCCGACCUUGAAAUACCACCCUUUAAUGUUUGAUGUUCUAACGUGGACCCGUAAUCCGGGUUGCGGACAGUGUCUGGUGGGUAGUUUGACUGGGGCGGUCUCCUCCUAAAGAGUAACGGAGGAGCACGAAGGUUGGCUAAUCCUGGUCGGACAUCAGGAGGUUAGUGCAAUGGCAUAAGCCAGCUUGACUGCGAGCGUGACGGCGCGAGCAGGUGCGAAAGCAGGUCAUAGUGAUCCGGUGGUUCUGAAUGGAAGGGCCAUCGCUCAACGGAUAAAAGGUACUCCGGGGAUAACAGGCUGAUACCGCCCAAGAGUUCAUAUCGACGGCGGUGUUUGGCACCUCGAUGUCGGCUCAUCACAUCCUGGGGCUGAAGUAGGUCCCAAGGGUAUGGCUGUUCGCCAUUUAAAGUGGUACGCGAGCUGGGUUUAGAACGUCGUGAGACAGUUCGGUCCCUAUCUGCCGUGGGCGCUGGAGAACUGAGGGGGGCUGCUCCUAGUACGAGAGGACCGGAGUGGACGCAUCACUGGUGUUCGGGUUGUCAUGCCAAUGGCACUGCCCGGUAGCUAAAUGCGGAAGAGAUAAGUGCUGAAAGCAUCUAAGCACGAAACUUGCCCCGAGAUGAGUUCUCCCUGAGACUUUAGGUCUCCUGAAGGAACGUUGAAGACGACGACGUUGAUAGGCCGGGUGUGUAAGCGCAGCGAUGCGUUGAGCUAACCGGUACUAAUGAACCGUGAGGCUUAACCUUACAACGCCGAAG
rnacentral:rRNA from 1 species